rnacentral:tRNA from 1 species
GACCAGGUAGCUCAAUUGGUAGGGCAUCCGGCUAGUGUUCUGAAGGUCCCGGGUUCGAACCCCAGACUGGCCUC